rnacentral:rRNA from 1 species
GAUGAACGCUCGCGAUAGGCUUAACACAUGCAAGUCGAGGGGCAGCACAAGGUAGCUUGCUAUCUGGGUGGCGACCGGCGCACGGGUGCGUAACGCGUAUGCAACUUGCCCUAUACAGGAGGAUAACCCGUCGAAAGACGGACUAAUACUGCGUAUGCUCACAACUUGGCAUCAAGUGGUGAGGAAAGAAAUUCGGUAUAGGAUAGGCAUGCGUCCCAUUAGCUUGUUGGUGAGGUAACGGCUCACCAAGGCAACGAUGGGUAGGGGAACUGAGAGGUUUAUCCCCCACACUGGUACUGAGACACGGACCAGACUCCUACGGGAGGCAGCAGUGAGGAAUAUUGGUCAAUGGGCGCGAGCCUGAACCAGCCAAGUCGCGUGAAGGAUGACUGUCUUAUGGAUUGUAAACUUCUUUUAGACGGGAAUAACAAGAGUCACGUGUGACUCCCUGCAUGUACCGUAUGAAUAAGCAUCGGCUAACUCCGUG